rnacentral:lncRNA from 1 species
CCGGGGCCUUCAUGCCCACAUCCAUCCCAACUUCGGGCAUCCGCGCCAUUGUCUCUGGUUUUCAGGACACAGCAUCUCCCAAAGACAAAACCCUGUGUUACUCCACUUUUUCUUACAGAAGGAAUUCCACCUCUUUCAUCUCCCCAGCACAGAUGGCACCACACGUGGACUUUAACAAGAAUGUAGGGGAGGUUCAAGGUCAGCAGAGAGAUGGCCCCCUGGGUCACAGUCACUCCUGGAACCGGGCACUUAGACACCCAGCUCCCACCAGACCUCAGCAUCCCUGCCCAGCCCGGGACACCCAGCUGGGGGCAGCCACCUCUGUCUCCAUCAGCAAAUAUCUCAGUGGCUCUGAACCUACGCGUCCCAGAGAGAGCUCCCCAAACUUGCCCCACGCUCACCCCGAUGAGAGCAGCCACAGCUAUUUCCUCCAGGGUGGACCCUGGGGCCCACCCUCUACCAUCAAAUUCAGAAGGCCUGGACCAAACAAGGACAGUAAUUCACAGAGCAAUACCCGAAGUCUGACGGAUUCAGUUCUAAGUAACACCAUAUGUGGGACCCACCAGCUGGAUCCCAGAAACUGUGCUGAGUCCAAUUCCAUUGUCUGGGUCCCACACACAGGCAAAAAACACCAGGCCUGCUGGGCUCACACCAGGGUCCAGGUUUCCUACUUACCAUGUAAGUGCUUAGAAAAGAACACACACACACACACACACACACACCAGGAACUAGAAAGGAUCUGCAGACACAGAGCAUUGAAGCCACGAUUCAAAGGGGAGGAAGAACAUUGUAAACCAUUCUGCAUUAAUCGCAGCCUAGGUAAAGUCUGCAGUUUUCGUGACUGGGUGAACUGCGAUCCCCCAGCACGACACACGGGCCCUCACGUGAUGCUGGGCAUUCAGGGCUGUCCAGAAAUGGCCCACCUGCCCUUCCACACCCACUCCGCUCCCCACCGUCUGUGUUCUCCGAUCCCCUGACCUGUUUGGUGUACAUAGGUCACAGAACUCCAGCUGGGCUUGGCCAAUGAGGAGUCCGGAGGGAGCCUGGGAAGAAAGGCAGGAUCUUUAUCCCUGCAGCUCCCUCCCUGUGGGUCCCCCGAACUGCCUGUGCCCCUUUAUCCUCCAAAAGCCAUCCUCUCAGCGUGAUGCUCAGUCAUGUCCGACUCUUUGAG